rnacentral:rRNA from 1 species
AUGUUGAGGGUGCCGGCCCAGACCUCCGAGUCCGUCUGUUUGGCCACCGGGAAGGACUCUCCGGUGAGGGUCUGCUCGUCGACCUCGCUCCGCCCGUCGACGACGACGCCGUCUAUCGGAACGACCUCCCCCGCCUUGACAGCGAUCACCGUGUUGACCUUCACGUCCUGGGCCGCGACCACCUGCCCCGUCUCUGCUAGCACGGCGUUCUGUGGUGCCAUGCUCAUCAGCGACGCCAUCCCGGGAUAA